rnacentral:rRNA from 1 species
GGGCCCGCACAAGCGGUGGAGCAUGUGGUUUAAUUCGAUGCAACGCGAAAAACCUUACCAGGCCUUGACAUCCAGAGAACUUACCAGAGAUGGUUUGGUGCCUUCGGGAACUCUGUGACAGGUGUUGCAUGGCUGUCGUCAGCUCGUGUCGUGAGAUGUUGGGUUAAGUCCCGUAACGAGCGCAACCCUUAUCCUUAUUUGCCAGCACGUAAUGGUGGGAACUUUAAGGAGACUGCCGGUGACAAACCGGAGGAAGGAGAGGAUGAUGUCAAGUCAUCAUGGCCCUUACGGCCUGGGCUACACACGUGCUACAAUGGGAAGUACAAAGGGUCGCAAUGCCGCGAGGUGGAGCAAAUCCCAAAAACUUUUCGUAGUCCGGAUUGGAGUCUGCAACUCGACUCCAUGAAGUCGGAAUCGCUAGUAA